ACGGAUACGUUUAGCAGUUCGUGUAAUUGACAUUAAUCUAAACUUACUGAUGAUGUUAUAACAUGGGCGUCGAAUCCAAUAUUAAUCAUGCUGAGGUUUUCACGACGGGGUAAUGUGUAUAAAUGCAGUUAUAAAAUUAAAAGGGACAAGAUAGUCGACGUGACCUUCAUGUUUCCAUGGCAAUCAGUCAAUCACAUGUUACGUUUAUGCUGCGGUCAUUCGCGCAGUAUCCAUGAUUUUAAGCGGCAUAAAACACUUAUGUUAACUCCUUUGUACGAAAAUGUCAUGUCGUGUAAGUUGGCAUGUUCUAUUCGAAUUGAAAUGCAUUGUAACGGUGUAAUUUUGCUUACUUCUCUUGUUGAAUAGUUAGCAAGUUUUAAUGGAAAUAGAAAAUAUUGGUUAUCUAGACAAAUGUGCUCUUAUUUUCAGUAUAUUUUUAUAACUCUUUUGUAAUGUCUUCGUUAUCAGAGCCCUUCAAAUUAGAAAAGUGAUGAUGAUCUUGUCAAUGCUGAGAUUUUCAUGCAUCAACAGCCACUACAUCUGGAUCAGAUUGAACAAGAAACAGACAUAAAGGGUUGUCAGGUCAGAAACAGAAUGACACACAAACACGAGAAACUUCACAGGCAGAUCAACAUGCAAUUUGAAGACGUGUGAUAAAAUACAGAGAUGUGAAGUCGUGUGUCUUUCCAGAUGCCCAAAUCAUUCCCGCUUAAAAGAUGAGCCUGAAGAGGAGAUUUGGGAAGAUGCUGUUUCAUAAGUCGCUUUGCCAGAUCACCUGUGGUCGGGAUGUCUGCUAACAAGAUGCCUUGCUGGUUUGGGCGAGUUUAAAGUCUAACACAGACAGUCCAGAGGUUCUGAAGUCCAUCUUCGAUCUCAAUGAUGCUGUCAUCGUAUUAAGUACAGCAUGAGCCAGAAUGGAUGGGUGGUGGUGGCCAUAAGAAGACUGUCAACUAAAUCAACAACAAAAUUCAUAUUUGCAUUUUUUCUUGAAUAAAGUUUUUCUAUUCAGA